GAGCCCUAGCACAGUGGUUAAAGCACUUGACUGCUAACCAAAAGAUCGGUGGUUUGAAACCACCAGGGCUCC
rnacentral:tRNA from 1 species